rnacentral:rRNA from 1 species
AGCUCGUGUCGUGAGAUGUUGGGUUAAGUCCGUAACGAGCGCAACCCUUGUCCUUAGUUACCAGCACGUUAUGGUGGGCACUCUAAGGAGACUGCCGGUGACAAACCGGAGGAAGGUGGGGAUGACGUCAAGUCAUCAUGGUCCUUACGGCCUGGGCUACACACGUGCUACAAUGGUCGGUACAAAGGGUUGCCAAGCCGCGAGGUGGAGCUAAUCCCAUAAAACCGAUCGUAGUCCGGAUCGCAGUCUGCAACUCGACUGCGUGAAGUCGGAAUCGCUAGUAAUCGUGAAUCAGAAUGUCACGGUGAAUACGUUCCCGGGCCUU